rnacentral:rRNA from 1 species
ACGAACGCUGGCGGCGUGCUUCACACCUGCAAGUCGAACGGAAAGGCCCUGCUUUUGUGGGGUGCUCGAGUGGCGAACGGGUGAGUAACACGUGAGUAACCUGCCCUUGACUUUGGGAUAACUUCAGGAAACUGGGGCUAAUACCGGAUAGGAGCUCCUGCUGCAUGGUGGGGGUUGGAAAGUUUCGGCGGUUGGGGAUGGACUCGCGGCUUAUCAGCUUGUUGGUGGGGUAGUGGCUUACCAAGGCUUUGGCGGGUAGCCGGCCUGAGAGGGUGACCGGCCACAUUGGGACUGAGAUACGGCCCAGACUCCUACGGGAGGCAGCAGUGGGGAAUAUUGCACAAUGGGCGGAAGCCUGAUGCAGCAACGCCGCGUGCGGGAUGACGGCCUUCGGGUUGUAAACCGCUUUCGCCUGUGACGAAGCGUGAGUGACGGUAAUGGGUAAAGAAGCACCGGCUAACUACGUG